rnacentral:lncRNA from 1 species
GGGGCAGGGUAGGACUCAUCAGUAUGGACCUUUGAAUUUAGUUUCCUGUUUUGAACAUGUCCAUGUGUCACCUGUGCUGAAAGGUCUUAACUUGCUGGACAUCAAGACUGUGGGUGCCAUGCGGAGAGGCAGCCCAGGGCAGGCUGAAGGCAAUAGCAGCACAGGGAGGACCUGCAGGCUGAGCCCCUGACUGGUGACAGGAAGAAUAGGGGAACCCAGCUCAGUGUCUGCAGGAGGAAAAGAAGAUUUCAGGUGCCCUUCCGGCAAAACAAUCUCUAUUGACUGUAUGGUAUUUAACCAUUGUCUAUGAUUUAACCAUUACUUUGUUAGAUAUUAGUUUAGGUCAAACUCUUUGAGUAUUUAGCCAUGAUAUUACAAUGAUAGGUGCUAUUUUAUUUUUAUUGUAGCACUGGGGAUUGAACCCAGGGGCCCUCAGUUGCUGAGCUAGCUACAUCCACGGCCCCCCCCCCUUUUUUUUGCAAUAGGGUCUUGCUAUGUUGUUGAUGCUGGCCUCAAACUUGCUAUCCCCCUGCUUCAGCCUCCCAAGUAGCUUUGAAUACAAGUAUGUGCCACCAUGCUUGGCUGACAGGUGCUAUUUUAAAGCACAUAUCAGUAUCUAUGCUAAAUGCCUCACAUACAUUGCCUUCUAAAGCUCUCUCAUGAGCUCUACCAGGAAGAUAUUACUAUGCCCAGCUUACAGAUGAGAAACUGCUGUUUGCUAGGUUUAUUACUUGCCCCAAAUCACAAAGUUAACAGAGAUGUGGGACUAUUUUUCUCUGUUACGAGUGGAAACCAGGUUGGAAGGAGCACAGUCUCCCUGGGCUCUGCUGUUGGGGGUUACUUUGAGGAGCCAUGAAGAAAAAAGAAUGAUCAUUUGGUCACCCUCAUGUCCAGAGUUUCUUUCAAGGUCAGUGAGAUCUCCUUCCUAGUCUGCCACCUGCCUCAGUGUAACUCCUGUGAGUAGGUCAUUUAGCUGGUCCUUGCCAGUUGCCUCAUAUUCUGGGCCGAUGUAUUAUUUUCUUUGGAUCCCAGAGUAAGCCCUUGUCAAGAAACCAGAGCCAAGCUCCUCCUGUGGUUACUGAGUAACUCUAAGCUCAACUCUUCCAUGGAAAUUUGGCAGAACAUCUGGCACAAAAAAUGAAGAAGAGUCUCCAACCCCCCUGGGUGUCCAGUUUAUUAGGUGAUGACAUUUUAAUUAAGAUGAUUUAAAGUCAAUCAAAAUAAAGCCUGCAUUAUCAUUUGACAGCUUUUAGCUGAGACUCAAAGCAUCUCACUGGAAUUUGUCUCUGUUCUCACAACAGUGAGAAAGUUCAGUUUGGGUUUCAGGGAAAUCAAAUUAAGACAGUAAAUAUUUAUUGAACACACUCAGUGCACAGCACGGGGCCUUGAGUGUACCAGGUACUCAGUAAACAUUGGUGUUUGAAGAAAUUCAGAUCCAGAAUGUCCUAUUAACAGAAAAUGCUUUAAAUUCCUCCUGAAUGGAAAGUUCGAAUUAUUGAAUCAGGUUUAAAAAAAAAGAAGAAGAGAAAGAAAAGAAAAAAUAAAGCAAGCCUAUUCAUCCAGAGGGAUUGUUACCUCACAUGAACAGAAACAAUGGGCAAGGGUACUCUUAGAAGGUUGAGCAAGAGUUCUGCAUGGGGUCAAAGCUCAUUGCUUAUAUAUUAGUUCAGGAAUUGGUGGAGGAGAAAAGCAGAGCAUAGAGGCAGAGAUAGUGGGAGAAAAUUCCCUGUAGAGAAACAGGAUGGUUUGGACAGAACUAGAAGCAACUUGAAGGAACUCAUAGUACAGCUAGGGCCAAGUGCAGACUAGUCAUGUGACAGGCCUCUGACCCACAUCUUCCAAAGCCUGCUGUAGCAAAAUGUGACCAAGUUCAUUUGAUGGUUGGGGAGGACAGGAGGAUCUGGGAAUGAAAGCGAGGCAGCUUUGUUUUUAUUUUUUUGCAGUACUGGGGACUGAAGCUGGGGGUGCUCAUGAGCUACAUCUCUAGCCUCCCCCCAACUCACCAAGUAUUUUGUGACAGGGACUCCUAAAUUACUGAGGCUGGCCUGGAACUUGCCGUCUAAUGCCUCUGCCUCCUGACUCCUGGGAUCACAGCAGCACCACUGUGCCUGACUCAGCGUGGCAGUUUUGAGCCCUGCCUUCCCAAAUGGCCAGUGCUAAAAAACAACAGAUGUUGCUUGGGAACAAAAACUAGCACCAAGGCUGGGAAGUAGCCCAGCAGAAGUGCUUGCCUAGCAGGCGCCAGGCCCUGGGUUUGAUUCAGUACUGCCCCAAACAAAUGCCACCUUAGCUUCAGGGAUCCUAUCUUGAAUGGCUGUGUUCAGCUAACCAGGAAAGAAGGGCUGGGGGCCAAACCCUCGCGCCUCCCACAGGUAGAGGAGGGACAGCCAGCCCACUCCAGGGAAGCAGAGCACACUCUGCUGCAUGUUCAGAUGUUCUCAGGUUCCCUAGCUUGUUGUGGGGAAGCAAAAGCCUCAAAUAUUUGACAGAAGUGAGUAUAAUGACUGAGGAAAAUUAGAGGGUUCCUUUUAGAUCACAAGGUAAGCAUUUGGACCCGAGAAUAUAAGAGGGUGAUGUCAAUUGAGGUAACUACAGGUUUUCCUCACAACUGAGCACUUCAAAGGGCUCUGGUACAGGUAAUGUAUGAACAUACCUAGUGUUGGUCAUGGGAACCAAGAGGAGCAGCUGACUUUGGCAACAGCCGCCUGUUUUCCUGUUUGAUAAUGAUAAUCAUGCUUGUGCCAUCUGUUUGCAUGGACUUGUCCCCAUGGCUUCUUCUAAGCCUAUUACAACAAACCUUUUUUUGCACUGACAAUUGAGUCCAGGGGCGCUCUACCACUGAGCUACAUACCCAGUCCUUUUUAUUUUUUAAUACCAGGGUCUCACUAAAUUGCUGAUGCUGGCCUCAAACUUGUGAUCCUCCUGCCUCAGCCUCCAGAGCUGCUGGGAUAACAGGCAUAUUUGUAAUUGGACAAAAUACCUUUAUUUUAUUUAUUUUUAUGUGUGCUGGGGAUCAAACCCAGUGCCUUGCACAUGCUAGGCAAGCACUCUACUGCUGAGCUCCAGCCUUGAUCUAUUUUUAAAGAUAGACCUAAUUCCUUUAAGUUCCAUAAAAGGACCACAUUCUUUUGACUGUACGUAUAUUCCCAUACUCCCCUGGCAUUGCCACCCCAUCAUGUAAACUGUUUCAGACCCCAGCCCUUCAGAUGUAAAAACUCCUCAAUCACCUUGCUCCUCCAGUUCCUUUCCCUUUGAACAGUCUCCAGGUAGUGUUAAUUGUCUUAUAUAUCACUCACUUUAUUGUAAUUGAAGUCUCUGAUAGGCAGAAACAGUAUCUUUCUGCUUCUAAAAUUACCCAUCACAUUGAACCUUACUACCCACCAAAUAUAGCACUGGCACCACCUGCAGCAUGAUAGCCUCAGCAGCCCCCCUCCACCUUGCAGACCCACGGAGACCCCUGAUGAACAGCACGCACAUGGAAGUUUGAGGAACUGAUGCAGAGUCUAUUGAAGGAUUGUGUAAACAGGCACAUAUCUAGUUCGUUUGUUCCCCUGCUUACCACCCUUCCUUGCAUUUCCUUUACCUUCAGAAUAAAUUCAAACCAACAUUUUAGCAUGAUCUACGGGCCUCCAUGAUCUGGCUCUGCCUUCUCUCAAGCCACUUGGGCCUGCUGUAGCUGCAAUGACAUGAAAGUUUCUUCAACUCGGCCCCUUUCUUCCUUCAGAAUUCAUACAUCCUAUCUUCUCACUAGGAGUCUUGCCUCCAAUAUCCACUCUCCCUGCCCCACCAUUCUUACCUUCAAGGCAACUUACAGCUGACCAGGCAGGCGAGUUCUUCCUUGUAUAGUCUCAGGGAUCCUUACUUUUCUGAGAAUGGCAAUGGUUGAGUAACUUACUUCUCUGCCACUAUUUUAAAACUGUGUACUUGGGCUGGGGUUGUGGAGUGCUCACCUAGCAUAUAUGAGGCCCUGGGAUCAAUCCUCAGCACCACAUAAAUAAAUAAACAAAAUGUUAAAAAGUUCUACAAUCUUCUCUUUAUCUUCUAUAUUGUUAUGCACAUGCAGAAUACUCAAUAAAUUAGGAGGGACUACUGAAGUAUUUGAGGAGUAGUUGAUAAAUUCACUUUUAUAUGCUAGUUAUUCCAAAAAAGGGUGGUAGCCAUUUGUGCUAUGAGCCAACAUGAUGGUAAGCAGUUUAUACUAGUUAAUCACUGCAGAUUGCUGGGCACUGGGAUUGAAGUCCAUACUAGCCUAUGUGUUAGCUAAGAGGUCAGAAAGUGCACUGCUUGUGAGCAGGAUAGGCCUAGGUAAGUGCAAAAAGACAUGUCUGGUUUUGCAGUUCCCACUCUGGAUUUUUAUAACCAUUAAGGGAUGCUGCAGCAGUUACCAUCUCCUAUGAACAACUUUCUUUACUCUGGCCUCUUCCCUCAAGGUCAGAUGUGACACCACUGGAUACUUCAUUGCUAAUUGAUGGUAAGGUUUAUAACCUUCACUGGUAAUGAUGUCUAUUAUUUUUUUAAAAAAUAUUUAUUUUUUACUUAGUUGUUGAUGGACCUUUAUUUUUUAUAUGGUGCUGAGAACCAACAUGUGUAACGUGUGAGGCAAGCGCUCUACUGCUGAGCUACAACUCCAGCUCCUUAAAAAUAUUUAUUUUAAAGGAAACUCCAGCCAUUGUCAGUUCUUGCUUCUUUAAAAAAAAAAUGUGGAUUAUUUUCUUUAGUAACCAUGUUGUUAUUAUUAUAUUGAACAAAACCAUCAUUCACCUAAUAUCCAAUACUUGGUCAGAUUUCCCUAACUAUAAAAUGUCAGGGGUAUCGAUAUGGCUCAGUGAUAGAUUAAUAAUCCCUUCUCCUCCCAUUUUUUUCCCUUUAUGCUAUUGAGUUGCUGCCUGAUGUAUAUGGUCUCAUGGCUAUAAACUUACAUUUAUCCUCUGCCAGGAAUGACUAGUAGGCAGGGAAUUCAAAAAAAUUAGGAAGUCACUAAGAAUGAAAAGACAUAUACUUUGCCUCAUGAAGAUACCCAGAACAAGACCAUUUUGCUUUAGGACAAAAAUGGUCCUGAUGAGAAGGCACAAAAACCAAGGUGCUGGAUGUCAGCUGCGGUCUCACUGAAUACUGGUCCUGUGUCUCAGAACCACUGUGCAUCAAAUGAAGGAAUCUGGACCACAGCAUAUUUAACAGUGGACCCAUUCUCAUGAAAUCCACACAAAGGGGGAUGUACAAGUAUGUGUGUGCUUGUGGAAAUUAGCCAUUUAUUUAUUUUUCAUCUACAAAACACUUCCCCCAAACGGUGUAAGAGUAUAACCCCAAUGAUUGAAUAAGACAACACAGACUCAUUUACAAAACAGACUACACAUUACUCAUUAAUUUAUCAUUUAAUAUAAAUGCUGACAGAAAGCAGAUAAAGACCUUGUAGACACGUUCAUAUAUUUACAAUCCAAAUGGUGAAUCACCUCCUUCUACUUGUUAAAAUAAAUCCUUUUAUCUGCAACUCAUGGGAGCCUUAAACACUAAUUAGGAGCAACAAGAGGCUGAGUCAGUUUCCAAGGUAAUAAAGAAAGGAAAUAGCAUUUUAACAAAAUGUGGCAUCUUGAUACAAACAACAUGCACACAAAUAAUAGAAAAUAGAAAAAGAUGGCCCUAAUCCUCUCAAAUCUGCAAAAAGUGGAACUUGUACUUAUUCAGUCAGAGUUUUGCUGCUCUAAACAGUCCUAUCAUUUUUUUUCCACCUCAUUUAUUCUGAAGGCUGCUUAAAAAUUAGAAAUACUAAAUAGAUUUUAAAAGAGAGGAAAUGGUCCAUUUCAAACAAGGUUCCCUGCCCACCCAUUCCAAAAGAACUUUCAGAUAAGUCAUUACAAAGUCUUCGAACAAGAUUUCACAGUUUGCCAGAUGCUACGGAAUUAUUCACAACUUGUGAAAUCCCAACCCAUUGUCUAUUUUCACUUUUUUAAGAAUUGGAAACAUUUGGAAAAAGUAAAAUUUCACAAAAUUCAGCAAUUAAAAAUCAGCUGUCACUUUAAGGCUGAACAUUAAGUUUUUAAAAAUUUCUGAACAGGUGGGUAGAGACAGGCCCCCCCAAAAAAACACAACCUCAAACCAAAUAAACAAACCCAGGAAUGCAAGAAAACCUUUAAAAAAUGACAUUUUAUCUAGCACUGAUUUAUAAGAAUAAGAGAAAGAAUUCUUACUAUCCAAAAUUCUAAGUGAUUUCAUUAAAUCUCUUAUAACCUGACUCAAAUCUCAAGGGCUCCUUUAUUCACCUAGAUUAUUUUUGUCUUGUUAAGUAUACCUCUGCAGGGCACAAUCACAUACAAUCAAUACGAUUGGUAAAUUACACAAGCUCUAUCCCAAGCAAAUAUGCAUCAAUGUUAAAAAGUUAUUAUUAUUUUUUUUAAAAAACAAAACAAAAUAAAAUCCACCCAAAAAGGUGAUAAUGACUGCAGAAUGUCUCUGGGAGACUGGUAUGAGCCUAAAGACCAAUUGAGCAGAGAAAAAAGGGUUGCAGGGGGCAAUGGGAAGAGACCACACACAUCAAGAGGAAUCUGACAACUGGAAAAUGUUUUAAGUGGGUGAAAGGUUUUUGUUCAUUAUCUUAAUUCACUUUUUCCAUUGUUCAUGUUUCCAAGUCAUAGAUUCAUCAUAAAGCUAAUGAAGUCCAUGACCAAUAAAUAAAAUGAAAGAAAAAAAUUUUUCUUCAAGUUCUAUUCAUUCCCAGAAUGUGGGAAAAAGACAAAGGAUGAAAAAGGGGUAAGUAUGAACACGCAGGCAACAUCUGAAAAAAGUAGUCUGAAGAUAGUGUUUCAAUUGAACAGAUAAAGGUAAAUAUUAGAGGCAAAAAAAGCUUAAAAUGCCUUUAAAUCAAAGGAAUAUUUUAUGGGCUAAUUCAGAUAUUAUUGUGAGAAAGGCAACCAAUAAUGAAGAGAGGUAACACUAAGCAUUUUUAAUUUUUUAAAAACCCAGGCCAAAAAAAAAAAAAAAAAAGCAACCAUCCAACCAAUUAUCAACCCUCUAUUUGUUCCCACCCUUUUUUGACCCUCUCACAUGCCCCACCUGACAGUUUCCAGUUAUAAGACAACUCUGAGUGUACAACCUAAAACGGAUGCCAAAGACUUGUGAGCUGUCUGCUUAGAGUUAAAAAAAAAACAAAAACAAAAACAAGAACACAAAACCAAAGAAAAGCCAGAGACAGUGGAAUUUCAAUGUAAGAAAACAAGUCACGUUAUCUAGUAUAUAAUAAACAUACAUUAGGAUAACAAACUCCACAGGAUUUUAUUUCUCUAAACACACAUUUUAGACACAAUAUUGUCUACAGGUUUAAGUUUUCCACCUUGGGUUGUUGUGCCUUAAUUUCUAGUGAAAAUAAAUAUUACUUUAGGGAUGUUUUGCUCAGGACAAAAUUUAGGGGAAAUUCAGUGUUUGGCUGAAAACUCUGAGGCUCUGAAAACCAGGGUUCCAGUAGUGAGGUAACCCUGCGACCACACAUGGUUGCAAAGGGCUCUGGACCCACUCUGCUCAGUGCAGUAUUGAAAACCCACCUAUUGGGAACAUUACUGAUUAAUAAAAGGUGUCACUUAUUCCUGGUGUUGGCAGUUUCUUAUUCUUAAUUAACAUUAUAGCUAGUAUUACUUAUUAAUUAGAAUUUACUGUGAAAAGACUUUCAGCAAUCACAAAAACAAAAAUCUUAAAAUUUCAAAUCUUAAGUUAUUUACUCUAGUAAAUAGUACCUUUUGACAAAACAGCUUUAAGUGGCUCAGAAAAAUGGAAUUGAGAAUUUAAAAAAAAUUAACUGCAAUUCAUCUACAAUUCCCAAUAAGUCAUUUCAGCAGAAAAAUUUCAUAAAGCUGAGCUGAAGCAACAAUAAAUAUAAAAAUAAAAGCUGUCCAAGGUAGAAAUGUAGAUGUGGAUCAGCCAGAGGGCAUGAGGGACAAUGAUACCAGCAGUAGACAGUUUGUCUGUUUAGUCCCCAAAGCUGAAUACAAUCUGUUUUUAAUUUGGCAGCUCUGAUUUUAACUUCGAGGGGAAGAGAUCACUUUACAACACUGUAACCACGUAUCAUCAAUUAAAAUUUUAAUGAACUAGGACUAUUUUUAAGGUAAAGGUUUAAGUGAGCACUGCAGUUAAUUUUCAGACAAGUUAUUAAUUUCUUCUAAAAGUAACUGGGCCAUUUCUCCUAAUGAAAUAUCAUUAUAGGUGGUUUUUACAGAUAUCUAUGAAGCCUUUACUCAGUUCUUUAAAAUGAAAAAAAGUGGAAAAAAGAUAGCGAGACUUCCAUCCACCACCAUGGGUGUAUACAUAUAUAUAUAUAUAUAUAUUAUAUAUAUAUAUGUAAAAGGAAAUGAAUCCUCUUUAGUGAAAAGAAUUUUAUUUUUCUCUGAAUCUGACUACAAUUAAUUAUUUCUCACUAGCCAGAUACUCAGGAAGAUUACCCAGUUCCAUGACCUGACCAUCCUGAGAGUGUAUCAUCCUUCAGGCACAAGUGAAAAAACAAAACCAUGGGAGAUGCUAUUAUAAGAUAGUCUCAAAAAAGGCAGGUGGUUGCUUACUCAAUAUUGUAAAAGAAGACAUUCACUGGUUUAGAAAAAAUGAUGAAUUUCCAUUACUUUUUACAUUUUAUAAGGCCAGCUAACUUUAACAGUUAACUUUAGAUAAAUCUACACAGUACAGUCAAUUCACAAAUACUAAAAGGUUUCACAAUCAAAAUGGCUACUACAUCCCCCCAAACCAAAACAGUAAAGCACAAGUCUUUGGCUCUCCCUUAAAGAAAACAGCAGGUUACCAUUCUUAACCAGACCUCUGUUUGCCUACCAGUAGGGCAAAUACCACAUUUGUGCAUCACUGAGUAAUAACACCAUUAGAAAAGGCAACUUCACAGAAGUUAUUGGCUAAGCGAAUUCAUUUGAAUGCUCUGUUUUGAGGCAGCAAACUGUCACUGUUACAGAUUGGGAAGGGCAGUGGGUAAGUCAAGGGGAAACUGCAGAAUGGAAAAGGGUCAGGGGAAAAAACAAAACGUUCAUGGGAAAACUUAGGAAUUAAAUUUUGAGCUCCAACAAUGGGGACCCAUGCAAAAAUAUGAUGGAGUUACAUACUCAAAGUAGCAAAUAAGAAUCAUAUCAAUUUGUUAUCUUUCAGGCAAACGAAUAAAUACAUGGAAAAGUAGGAAAAGGGAAGGGAAAUAAGAUGGGAGAAGGGAAUCACCCACAUUAAUGCUGUACCAAACCAAUUUCUAUACAUUCUGAGUAGUUGACAUUAAGAAUAGUGUCAUUAUCAUUUGAGUAAUAUUACUACUAGGAACUUAUUCUAUAACUAACUUCUUCUCAAUUAGAAAAUAAAGAAUAGAUCUUUGGUCACUUUAGGCUCUGUACAUUAGCCAAAAAAGGGCAUCUAUUAGACUUACCUUUUGACAAUAUCUAUAAAUUAAAAAAAAAAAAAAUUACAUGUAAGACAGGAAACUGAGCCUGGACAUCUUAUUCUCAAUUCUUCUACACUUUUCCAGAAACCCCUUGAAAAAAUAAUCCAAAACACUUUUUCUAUUCCUCUUUAUAAUAAAAUCUAACUUUGUUAUCUAAACAAGAGUGAACACAAUGCUCAUUACUCCUAUCUUAACCCUUUCAGAACUGUUGAUGGAGUUCAUUUGAGAUUUCCAAGACUUGCUUUUGAAAAGCACAAGAUCAUCUCCAGAAGAAACUAAUUUUUAAAAGGAAGCACAAAAAACUAUAUUUCCUACCUGAUUGGUUUCACUUCUAAUGUCUCUAAAGGCACAAAUAAAUUUAAAAAGCCAGGAAAAAAAAAAUCAAUGCUUUCCAGAUUUUGAUAAAAAAGCAGUUACAGAGUCAAGUGGUUAUGCCCUAAUAGGCCAUUUACCUUUACUGGCUCCUCAUAACACAAAGUAUAUCCAAGAGAAAAACAACAACAAAAUGUUCCUCCCCCAAGUUUAGGGGUUUUAAUAAAUUCCCAAACCUGUUGGAGGGCACUAGGAAAGCUGUAACAGUUUCCAGCAGGUAAGGGAGAAUGGCUAAUUUAAAACAGCUGAACAAGAAGAUGGUCUACAUUCUGCUUUUCUAUCCAAACAGACUGCCUCUAGAGUGUGGGGACAGGAAGGGCUAUAGCUAGAAUUCAUGCCAGAAAAGACUUUUUUUUUUUUGCCCCCAAAUGAAAAUACAUUUAAA